UGGCGGCGUGCCUAAACAUGCAAGUCGCACGAGAAAGUGGAGCAAUCCAUGAGUAAAGUGGCGCACGGGUGAGUAACACGUGAAUUAUCUACCUCCGAGUGGGGAAUAACUUCGGGAAACCGAGGCUAAUACCGCAUAACACUUACGAGUCAAAGCAGCAAUGCGCUUGGAGAGGAGUUCGCGGCAGAUUAGCUAGUUGGUGGGGUAAUGGCCCACCAAGGCGAUGAUCUGUAUCCGGCCUGAGAGGGCGCACGGACACACUGGAACUGAAACACGGUCCAGACUCCUACGGGAGGCAGCAGUGGGGAAUUUUGCGCAAUGGGGGAAACCCUGACGCAGCAACGCCGCGUGGAGGAUGAAAUCCCUUGGGAUGUAAACUCCUUUCGAUCGGGACGAUUAUGACGGUACCGGAAGAAGAAGCCCCGGCUAACUUCGUGCCAGCAGCCGCGGUAAUACGAGGGGGGCGAGCGUUGUUCGGAAUUAUUGGGCGUAAAGGGUGCGUAGGCGGUUUGAUAAGUCAUCUGUGAAAUCUCUGGGCUCAACCCAGAGUCUGCAGGCGAAACUGUCGGGCUUGAGUAUGGGAGAGGUGAGUGGAAUUUCCGGUG
rnacentral:rRNA from 1 species